AUACGGAGGGUGCAAGCGUUACUCGGAAUCACUGGGCGUAAAGCGCGCGCAGGCGGCUAUUUAAGUUGGAUGUGAAAGCCUACGGCUCAACCGUAGAACUGCAUCCAAAACUAUUUAGCUAGAGUGUGGGAGAGGAAGAUGGAAUUAGUUGUGUAGGGGUAAAAUCCGUAGAGAUACCUAGGAAUACCAAAAGCGAAGGCAAUCUUCUGGAACACUACUGACGCUGAGGCGCGAAAGCGUGGGGAGCAAACGGGAUUAGAAACCCCUGUAGUCC
rnacentral:rRNA from 1 species